AGAGUUUGAUCAUGGCUCAGAUUGAACGCUGGCGGCAUGCCUUACACAUGCAAGUCGAACGGUAACAGGUCUUCGGAUGCUGACGAGUGGCGAACGGGUGAGUAAUACAUCGGAACGUGCCCGAUCGUGGGGGAUAACGAGGCGAAAGCUUUGCUAAUACCGCAUACGAUCUACGGAUGAAAGCGGGGGAUCUUCGGACCUCGCGCGGAUGGAGCGGCCGAUGGCAGAUUAGGUAGUUGGUGGGAUAAAAGCUUACCAAGCCGACGAUCUGUAGCUGGUCUGAGAGGAUGAUCAGCCACACUGGGACUGAGACACGGCCCAGACUCCUACGGGAGGCAGCAGUGGGGAAUUUUGGACAAUGGGCGAAAGCCUGAUCCAGCCAUGCCGCGUGCAGGAUGAAGGCCUUCGGGUUGUAAACUGCUUUUGUACGGAACGAAAAGCCUCUUUCUAAUAAAGAGGGGUCAUGACGGUACCGUAAGAAUAAGCACCGGCUAACUACGUGCCAGCAGCCGCGGUAAUACGUAGGGUGCAAGCGUUAAUCGGAAUUACUGGGCGUAAAGCGUGCGCAGGCGGUUUUGUAAGACAGAGGUGAAAUCCCCGGGCUCAACCUGGGAACUGCCUUUGUGACUGCAAGGCUGGAGUGCGGCAGAGGGGGAUGGAAUUCCGCGUGUAGCAGUGAAAUGCGUAGAUAUGCGGAGGAACACCGAUGGCGAAGGCAAUCCCCUGGGCCUGCACUGACGCUCAUGCACGAAAGCGUGGGGAGCAAACAGGAUUAGAUACCCCGGUAGU
rnacentral:rRNA from 1 species